GGUUUGAGCCCCACCUUGUAGACGCUGACGCUGUUGCGUGUCCUUGCAGCGCUUGCAGCCCUACUUUAUAGCUGGCCUCCGUUAACCCUACCCAUGGUUACGUUGCUCUGUGUAAAAAGUUCGCCUUAGUUGUGUCGCCGUUUGCAUUCAAAGUGCCCGAAGCUUUAGUAAAGAGGACGCUGUGAGAAGGCCUGCAAACAGCCGCGUUCUAUGAUCCUUGUGCCGAUACUGUUGUCGCCUCGUCCCCCAGGAAGCGAGGCCUCUGUGAAGCGAGGCUAGCGGGACCAGUAAAUCGGUCAGUUUACCUCCUGGCAGCCAGGACCGCUAGCUAGAAAGGAGAAGGUGUAACCCUUUCAGCAGCAGCUGCGGGAAAGGGCAACUAUGCAAGACUCGUCAGACUGCGAUGUCUUGCAGCUGUGCAAGCAGCUGCAGGAGAUACGUGCCCAGCUUGCCAAGGCCAGGGCCAAGGCGCAAGUCGACGGCACUGUCCAGGACAAAGCAGCUGCGAAAUUGGACGAAGUGUGCGAGUUAUUGCAGCUAGAAAACCAGGGGGACGGUUCUAGUAUUCCAAAAGGUGCAACUGAAAACAGUAA